ensembl:snoRNA SNORD73 Small nucleolar RNA SNORD73
AAUGAAUGAUGACAAAAUGUUUCGGUCCCAAAUGAUUUCUAUGAUUACUCUUUGAGAUCGUUCUGACAUU